CAAAAAUUCAUUUGAAAAAAAAUCUGGUUAGAUUUCAUGGUAAUCUCUCCAGGGACACAAUAAUAAAUGCAGAGAGGUGUUCAUAAAGAGCAAUAUCAGAUGGCACCCCAAAAAAGGAUAUGAAAGAACACCAAAAGGGAACUCUAAAGAUUUAGUUGGAAAAGUAGAUGCAGAGAGGUGUUCAUAAAGAGCAAUAUCAGAUGGCACCCCAAAAAAGGAUAUGAAAGAACACCAAAAGGGAACUCUAAAGAUUUAGUUGGAAAAGUAGCUUCAGUCAUCCUAGCCUAGUCUGUGAUGCUGGGAAAAAACGUAAUAUGCUGUUUAUUGCAGCACUAUUCACAAUAGCAAAGACUUGGAACCAACCCAAAUGUCCAACAAUGAUAGACUGAA
rnacentral:lncRNA from 1 species